UACGUAGGGGCCGAGCGUUGUCCGGAGUUACUGGGCGUAAAGCGCGCGCAGGCGGCCCAGCGCGCCCGACGUGAAAGCCCCCGGCCCAACCGGGGAGGGUCGUCGGGGACGGCUGGGCUUGAGGGCAGCAGGGGCUGGUGGAAUUCCCGGUGUAGUGGUGAAAUGCGUAGAGAUCGGGAGGAACACCCGUGGCGAAGGCGGCCAGCUGGGCUGCACCUGACGCUGAGGCGCGAAGGCGUGGGGAG
rnacentral:rRNA from 1 species